AUUGAACGCUGGCGGCAGGCCUAACACAUGCAAGUCGAGCGAGUGGCGGACGGGUGAGUAAUGUAUGGGGAUCUGCACGAUAGCGGGGGAUAACUACUGGAAACGGUGGCUAAUACCGCAUACUACCAGAUGAACCCAUAUGGGAUUAGCUAGUAGGUGGGGUAAAGGCUCACCUAGGCGACGAUCUCUAGCUGGUCUGAGAGGGUGAUCAGCCACACUGGGACUGAGACACGGCCCAGACUCCUACGGGAGGCAGCAGUGGGGAAGAUUGCACAAUGGGCGCAAGCCUGAUGCAGCAAGGCCGCGUGUAUGAAGAAGGCCUUCGGGUUGUAAAGUACUUUCAGCGGGGAGGCGUUACCCGCAGAAGAAGCACCGGCUAACUCCGUGCCAGCAGCCGCGGUAAUUC
rnacentral:rRNA from 1 species